rnacentral:rRNA from 1 species
UGUUCUUUAAAUGGGGACUUGUAUCAACGGCAUCACGAGGGUUGCACUGUCUCCUUUUUCUAAUCAGUGAAACUAAUCUCCCCGUGAAGAAGCGAGGAUAUUACUAUAAGACGAAAAGACCCCAUGGAGCUUUAAACCCAACUACAUCCCUAUCCCCAACAACUACUUAACCAAUUGGGCGCUGUAUGCUUGGUUUUAGGUUGGGGCGACCAUGGAGUAAAAAAUAACCUCCACGAUGAAUGGGCUUACCCCCUUAUCUAAGAGCCACACCUCUAAGAAUUAAAAUAUUAAUGUAAAAUGAUCCUUUCUUGAUCAACGAACCAAGUUACCCUGGGGAUAACAGCGCAAUCCAUUU